UGGAGAAUUCUAGAACCCAAGAAGCAAGAGACCAGCAACAAAGUGGUUACAGAAGCUUCUUAAGAGGUUUCAGGUAUUUCUAUGAAACACCAGAAAGAUACCACCUGACUUCAGGGCCAAAGAAAGUGGCCUGGGAAGGGCUCAAAGGUAGAGCAGGACAUAGAACUAUUUCUCUGUUCUCUCACAGUGAAAGAAACUCUAAAGUCUGGGCCCCAGUGACCCAUCAUCAACAAGGGAGGAUGUUUGCUGCUACCUUCUCAUCCUCUUUUAACACCACAAACCUUGGUCUGCUCUAAAACCUGUGAGAAUGGCCUCGGUGCCUCUGUAUUGCCUUUGUCGACAGCCUUACAAUGCGAAUCACUUCAUGAUUGAGUGUGACCUGUGCCAGGACUGGUUUCAUGGUAGCUGUGUUGGGAUUGAAGAAGAAAAAGCUGUUGACAUUGAUAUCUACCACUGCCCAGACUGUGAGGCUAUAUUUGGGCCUUCCACUAUGAAAAAAAGGUAUGGAUCAUCUAAAGAGCAUGAAGCUCUCAAGAGGGAGCCAGUGAAGACUGGGAGCCCUAUCUUUAUUCAGCAAAUCCAGGGUAAGAUUUUUGACAGCUCUGACAAAGUGAUUUUGAAGCCCACAGGAAGUCAGUUGACAGUGGAAUUCCUGGAAGAAAGUAGCUUAAGUAUACCUAUCCUUGUCUUGAAGAAGGAUGGGUUGGGCAUGACACUUCCACCGACAUCAUUCACUGUCAGAGAUGUUGAACAAUAUGUUGGUUCUGAUAGAGAGAUUGAUGUGAUUGAUGUGGCCUGUCAGGCUAGCAGCAAGAUGAUGUUGGGAGAUUUUGUGAAAUAUUAUUACAGCAGGGAAAGGGAAAAGGUCUUUAAUGUUAUUAAUUUGGAAUUCUCUAGUACUAGGCUUUCUGACAUGGUAGAGAUGCCCAAGGUAGUUCGUAAGCUUUCGUGGAUUGAAAACUUAUGGCCAGAAGAGUGUGGCUUUGAGAAACCCAAUGCACAGAAGUAUUGCCUUAUGAGUGUGCAGAAUAGCUAUACAGAUUUUCACAUUGAAUUUGGUGGCACUUCAGUCUGGUACCAUGUACUUAAGGGUGAGAAGAUCUUCUACCUGAUCCACCCGACAGAUGCUAACCUGACCCUUUUUGAGUGUUGGAGCAACUCUUCUAACCAAAAGGAAACGUUCUUUGGUGACCAGGUAGACAGAUGUUACAAGUGUUCUGUGAAGCAAGGACAGACACUUUUCAUUCCUACAGGCUGGAUCUAUGCUGUGCUGACUCCUGUGGAUUGCCUAGCAUUUAGGGGAAACUUCUUACACAGUUUAAACAUUGAAAUGCAGCUCAAAGCCUAUGAGACUGAGAAGCAUCUGAAUACAGCAAACCUCUUCAAGUUUCCAAGCUUUGAGACCAUCUGUUGGCAUGUGGGAAAGCACAUACUGAACAUCUUUGAAGGUUUGCGGGAGAAUGGGAGAUGUCCUGCGUCCUACUUCGUCCGUGGUUGUAAAGCUCUAAAUUUGGCUUUUCAAGCCUGGACAAGGAAAGAAGUUCUGCCAGACCAUGAGGAUGAGAUCCCAAAGACAGUGCAGACCAUGAAGCUCAUUCAAGAUCUGGCUAGGGAAAUUUGUCUUGUUGAAGAUACCUUCCAACAGAAAAUCCCAAAGACAUGUACUACCUUUAGGCUCCAACAGCUCCAUACCAAUUGCUCUUCCUUAACUAGGCCAGCUCAUUCCACUUCAGUAUCCAAGUAUACAUUAUCACUGCCCUCCAAAAGUGGUUCAGAAAAGAAAAGCCCAAAGUAUAAAGACAUCUUCAAGAAGAAAGAACAAAUGAGCAAGGAGAGUCCAGCUCUGUGGCAUAAUAAUCAACAUAACUUUAAUUUCAUGGAUCUCAAUAAUCAUCAACAAUGGAAGGUAGGCUCUUCCCAAAACGUAGAGUUUAACAUCACUAGUACUUGUUUGAAUGACUCAGAUGAUAACUCAAAAUAUGACAAAGUCUUUGAUGGGAAUGAGAGCCUGGCGCCUCUGUUGAUGGCUAAUGGCAGUACCAAGAGGGUUAAGAGCUUGUCCAAUUCUUGUCAAGCCAAAAUCACAGAGGAGGAAGAUAAAUCAAGGUUGGUGGAAGAACAAGUGGUGGUAGACACAUUUGUCUUGAAUUCAAAUGAUGAGCUGCAGACUGAAAAGACACUGGACAAAGAGAAAGUGAGUCUGGUAGUAAGACCAAAAAUUGCCCCAAAUUUGCCCCAUGUGAAGUUUGACUCUGACCAAAACCAAAGUCAUGAACCAGGGGAAACUGAGAUCACCAUUGUAGAGAACUAUAAAAUAGACGAGGAAAUGGUGAAAGUGGUUGAAGGCAAGCUUAAGAAUAGAAGUGAAUCUGAUGGAAUUCUUGAUCCACUUAAGGCCAGGAAACAGGUGGGAGAACCUGGCUGUGUUGUCCUCACUGAUGACCAAGCCUCUUCCAGCAAUAAGGAGGAUAUCCAGGACACUGCGUUCAUGCCUGAAUUACAAUCUUCACCUCCCUCACCAGCUCCCUCCAAUCUCCAGGCAUUUCGGAGUGGGGGACAAGAUCCAGGCAACAAAAGCCCCAGGAGUGUCUUGGGCACAGUGUCUAACAGUCCUGUUUCUCAGCACACCCCAAGGAAAUGGCCCAUCAAGCGGCUAGUAUACAGGAAAAAUGAAAGUGAAAAUGCUUGUGUGAGUGAGCAAGACAGCUUAGGGUCAAGCUUCAAAAAACCUAGGUAUAUCUACUUAUUCCUGGAAUCUGAUGAUGACGAUGACAACGACAACCCUGCUUUCAGAUCUCCACCAAAGAAAAGGAAGAUAUCAAAUAAUGCCCCAAGGAUUCCUCCAGUAUAUGAGAGCCCAACCCUACCGAAGCAGGACCAUGCUGUACUCGAGGGCAACAGAGUUGGCUCCAUUGAGAUAGGCUUGGCUACAGCAGGUACAAAGAUGGCACAACAGGUCAACCACAAGAAGUUCAAUCUGACUAGUACAGGAAAAAGCAGCCAAUAAACAGAGAAGAUAAGACUUAAAUCCAUGUCCUCAAACUUCAGCUUUUCUGUUGCUUGAUACUUAAGUGAAUAUAUAGUUUAGUAAAAAUAUCCUAUUUAAAUGAAUUUUACUAUGGCUAUGUUUUUAAUGGGAAGUUCUAGAGAGUUGUAGAGUUUCUUAGAAAUGCUUUCUAGGGUGUAACUGGGACCCAGAAGAGACCCAGCAGGUGAAGAAGCUCUUUUACUAAGACCUGCUUCUGUCGUUUACAUCUCAGCGCUGCGUGUAACUUGGAAAUAAAGGAAUUUGAUUGCUUUAAGUAAAUUCAAGAUGAAGAAAACAAACAAAAGGACCACAAAAAUAAAAUAUAAGCAAAAGACCCACCAAUAUCUGUCUUGAGACUGUAUAUUUUUACAAAUAUUUGUGAUUCUAAUUUGAAUUUUGCUUGGGUCUAGGAAUCUUCUGCAAUAGAUUUCACCAAAAUAUAUGUAUUAGAAUUCCACUGAUACCAAACAGUUUUGAUCAAGAAUAUGCUGCAUUUUAUUAUUUCCCAAACAUACAUGUCACUAGUCAAUCAUAAGGUUGUUUUAUGAAAUCUGGGAUGUCUGAUGAAUAAUUAAAAUCUUUGGAACAAGAAAAAUGAUAUUUUGCCUAAUACAAAUAAAGGGAAACCUCUGUA